rnacentral:rRNA from 1 species
UACGUAGGGCGCAAGCGUUGUCCGGAAUUAUUGGGCGUAAAGAGCUCGUAGGCGGCUUGUCACGUCGGAUGUGAAAGCCCGAGGCUUAACCUCGGGUCUGCAUUCGAUACGGGCUAGCUAGAGUGUGGUAGGGGAGAUCGGAAUUCCUGGUGUAGCGGUGAAAUGCGCAGAUAUCAGGAGGAACACCGGUGGCGAAGGCGGAUCUCUGGGCCAUUACUGACGCUGAGGAGCGAAGGUCAGGGGAGCAAACGGG